rnacentral:tmRNA from 1 species
GGGGGUGAUAUGGGUUCGACGGGGGUCAAGAGGCGACGAGGAGCAUGCCGGGCACCGUGCCGGCCCGUGAGAGGCACGGAAAAAAACAACUGCCAACGUGCAGUACGCUCAGGCCGCGUGAGCGCGGCCUCGUUCCCCCUCGCCUCGCCCGCGGGUGAGGAGUGGAGCGUCACCACAGACGGGCUCGGUCCGCGCGAAGGAUCGGCGCGCGCGGGCGACAGCUGAGACCGAUCUAGUCGCGCGAGGCGCAUGUCGCCUCGCCUCCUCGCGCGGCGAAGGACAGAGAGGCGACUAAGCAUGUAGAACCUCGCGCCGGAAGGCCCUCGGACAGCGGUUCGAUUCCGCUCACCUCCACCA